rnacentral:lncRNA from 1 species
AUGGUGCUGAUUUUCAGCAAUAUCUAUAAAUGCCAAGCCUCACGGCUUGAAAGCAGCUGCUUCGGGGUCACAGAGGCCAGGCCCCUCCGAUUCCAGGCAGGGGAACAGCUCUUCAGACUUUUCAAGACGAUCUCCAUGGUGCUGAUUUUCACCCCUGAGGGCAAGCGUGAAGAAAGGAGCACAAUGAAAGGACUCACCCUCAGAUCUGAAGGCUCAGCUCCCCGCCUUAGUGAGAGUGCCACGUUGAUGCCAUUGGGCAAAAGUGGGGCCUUUUACAAAAAUAGAAUCAAGCUGCACCGGUGGCAUUUUGGGAAACAAAGACUCUUCAGGGAAAAAGAGAUUUGGGUUUUGUAUUUUAAUGAGUGCAGCAGUACAGAGCGUCCCAGGGCCACAGGUAGAAAGUCAACAGUUGAGCCUCAAAGAAAUGAGGAAAAUGAAACUAAGAGGCGUCCAGCAGGUCAGAGCCACUGUCAUCCCUGCUGGGAUGUUUCUAGCAUCCCAGAAACAUGGACCGGUCAGGAAUCUGAGCUGAAAGGACUUGACAUCACAAGACCCCAGAACGGUGGUCCAGUGUGGAGAGGAUGUCUGAGAUCACUGCCCACCAGCCAGCAGAGUGGAGGUAAACACAUGCAAAACACAUUUCAACUGACGGCAAAUAAAAAGUUGUACAACUGGCUUAGGACGAAUGGUAUUAAUACCUGCCAGAUCCAGAUUGGGAAUCCAAAGUCCAAAGGUUGAUUAAGCAGCCUUUGCAUCCAGAUUGAAGUUUUUUGUUUGUUUGUUUGUUUUAGAAAAAAGACCAGAUGAAUCUAUAUUGGAUGGAGAAGCAUCAAUUUCAGCAUGUCAAUUUAAAAUGACAGCCUUAGUUUUAGGAAGAAUGUUUAUUAAAAUCAUAUUUUCUGUUUCCCAUUACCUCCCUGAUGCUCCUGCAUAAAUCUUUUCUCUCUGUCAAAUGCCUGGCAGCCUUUGGUGACGGCUGAUGAGAAAUCAGAGCAAUCUGAAAGCCAUCUGUCUUUCCCUCCCCACCAUCACCUCCCACCUCCCACCAAAGUACUUUUGGGAAGUUAGAGCCGAGAAUUUAUACAGCGUGCUUCCUUCUAUCCGAUCAGGAGAGAGCCCAAGAUCUCACAACUGAAAUUUACUUCCAGAUCAUGAUGAAGUUAUUGGCUUUCUGUUGACAUAAAUUACACGGGUACUACAAUAGAGCGAGCAGCAUUUUCUCUGUGCUGCCUGGUUUUUGUAAUAGCAGCUGGAUUUCUCAGUGUAAUUUUUCUUAAGGUCAAAUUUUCUCCUCCAAGUAGAGUCAGUGAUAUGAAACUUGUCAGAACAAAUCUAGAUAUAUCUUUAUGUUCUUGCAUUAUUCAAUUCCCAGAUUCUAUCAGGAAGGUAGACAAAGAGAAAAUAUAUCAUUAGCAACAAGAUAAAUAUCAG